UGGGGGAUAUUGCACAAUGGGCGAAAGCCUGAUGCAGCGACGCCGCGUGGGGGAUGAAGGCCUUCGGGUUGUAAACUUCUUUUGCUCUGAACAAGGCAUGCUUUUGGGGUGUGUUGAGUGUAGGGGUUGAUUAGCGCCGGCUAACUACGUGCCAGCAGCCGCGGUAAUACGUAGGGCGCGAGCGGUGUCCGGAAUUAUUGGGCGUAAAGGGCUUGUAGGGGGCUGGUUGCGUCUGUCGUGAAAGCUCAGGGCUUAACUGUGGGUUUGCGGUGGGUACGGUCUGGCUUGAGUGCAGUAGGGGAGGCUGGUAUUCCUGGUGUAGCGGUGGAAUGCGCAGAUAUCAGGAGGAAUACCGGUGGCGAAGGCGGGUCUCUGGGCUGUUACUGACGCUGAGGAGCGAAAGCGUGGGGAGCGAACAGG
rnacentral:rRNA from 1 species